rnacentral:rRNA from 1 species
UGGGGAAUAUUGGACAAUGGGGGGAACCCUGAUCCAGCCAUGCCGCGUGUGUGAAGAAGGCCUUAUGGUUGUAAAGCACUUUAAGCGAGGAGGAGGGUACUGGUAUUAAUACUACCAGCUACUGGACGUUACUCGCAGAAUAAGCACCGGCUAACUCUGUGCCAGCAGCCGCGGUAAUACAGAGGGUGCGAGCGUUAAUCGGAUUUACUGGGCGUAAAGCGUGCGUAGGCGGCUAAUUGAGUCGGAUGUGAAAUCCCCGAGCUUAACUUGGGAAUUGCAUUCGAUACUGGUUAGCUAGAGUGUGGGAGAGGAUGGUAGAAUUCCAGGUGUAGCGAUGAAAUGCGUAGAGAUCUGGAGGAAUACCGAUGGCGAAGGCAGCCAUCUGGCCUAACACUGACGCUGAGGUACGAAAGCAUGGGGAGCAAACAGG